GAUUCGCAAUUAUAAUCAAUGUAAAUUUGCAAACCAUUGGAAAAGGCCAUAUCUCAAACACGUUUAUUCCUUCAUAAAAUAAUCAAUAUUAUAGUAAAUUUGUUUUUUUAUAAGGUAGUUUAAUAAUUCAACCCUUAUUCAGUUUUCAUCUAAAUUUGAUGUUGAUAUCUAAAAACAGUUUUUUUACAAUUCCUAAACAUUUUCAUUUCACGGAGAAAUACCCUAUUCAAAUGUUGUGAUUUGUGGUUAAAACAAAUUUGAGCUUCAUGUAGUAUUUUUUUUUUUUUUAUAAAUUUUAAUAUCAAAUUUUGACGAAAAUCAUAAAUAUUACGGCAUUUUAAAACAUGUAAAACCGAACUUCACUCCGAAUUGGUUUACGUUAUUAAUAAAGUUUAUCGUCGGUUACAGAUAUAAAUUAAAUAACUUUAUAAACCUCACCUUCCCCAUUACCCACCUACAACAGUGGCCGCACAUGUCAUAAGUAUCCUUCUAAAUGCCAUUCUGAUGAUGAUGACGAUGACGAUUUAAUAAGUUGUAAUGGUAAUUUAGAUAAUUAUUCAUGUAUAAGAUACACCAAAUAACUUCAGUGGACGUAUAACGAUUAUUUUUUGUGUACAUAAAUAUUUUGAGCUCAAAUCCUCAACGUUUUAC